rnacentral:tRNA from 1 species
GGGACUGUAGUGUAGUUUGGAACAACAAAAACCUCAGUUUUUGAGGUUUCUUGCAGCAACUAUCAUCCAUGGUUCGGGGCCAUGUGACCGGGGUUCGAAUCCUCGCAGUCCCA